rnacentral:lncRNA from 1 species
ACUAUGGCAUGGACCCUCAUCCUCGAGCCCCACUACUCAGAGGAGCUGGGAAGAAUUUCCACCCUUCCUAGUGGCAAGUCUCACUGUGAGAGCGGAGUGCCACCAGGCAAACAGGGCAGAAAGACUGCUUUAAGGAGAAUCCUUAUAUUGGGGGUUAUGAAGUGCAAUACACCCUCAUCCUCACGCUAACACUGGUACCAUGUAGCCCAAGCUUGUCUAACCUGCAGCCCGCGGGCUGUGUAUGGCCCAGGACAGCUCUGAAUGUGGCCCAACGCAAAUUUGUAAACUUUCUAAAACAUUAUGAGAUUUUUUUUUCUCAUCAGCUAUCAUCAGUGUGAGUGUAUGUUAUUUGUGACUCAAGACAAUCCUUCUUUUCCAAUGUGGCCCAGAGAAGCCAAAAGACUGGACACCCCUGAUGUGGCCCUUUCAUCCAUAGUAGCCUAUUUUGUCCUAAAGACGGUCUUGUGCAGUGAGUAGGCCAGGCCUCCCCACUACCACAGUUUACAGGCAAGGAAUGUGAUAUUUCAUAGGAUGACCCUGACUGGCACCUACAUUGCUAGCCAAAGAAUGGCACAAAGAUGUGGACAGAAGAGACAACCUUAAGCAGCUGACUGCUGGCUCCUGCAACAGUAUCAUCAUGGCAUUUGUCCUGGGGUCCCAAGGAAAGAAAACAAAUCUGUGGCUGAGGAACAGACUGAGUUGACAAAGCAGCUUCCACAGUAACACAAGGACAAAGGGUGUAUGUAGAUAUGCACGUGGUAGCAGGUUCUACUAAAGGAACCUGGACCGACCAUUCUCACUCACAUUCUUUGGGAGCUGUAUUCUAAUACUUUCAGAAAAGCCAUGGGAACACACCAGAGUGACUGCUCGAGUAAAUAAGUAGCAUAAACAGCAAGCCAAACCAUUGAUGUACACAUCACUGGGCCCAAUACUAUGAAAUCCCACAUAAGAAACUUGAAAGUGAAAGCUGGAAUUCUGAGGAUACUGGUUUUGCUUAAUAAACAGCAUUUCAACAGGUGAGUCAACUUAG